rnacentral:rRNA from 1 species
GAUGAACGCUAGCGGGAGGCCUAACACAUGCAAGCCGAGCGGUAUUUGUUCUUCGGAACAGAGAGAGCGGCGCACGGGUGCGGAACACGUGUGCAACCUGCCUUUAUCUGGGGGAUAGCCUUUCGAAAGGAAGAUUAAUACCCCAUAAUAUAUUGAGUGGCAUCAUUUGAUAUUGAAAACUCCGGUGGAUAGAGAUGGGCACGCGCAAGAUUAGAUAGUUGGUGAGGUAACGGCUCACCAAGUCAAUGAUCUUUAGGGGGCCUGAGAGGGUGAUCCCCCACACUGGUACUGAGGCACGGACCAGACUCCUACGGGAGGCAGCAGUGAGGAAUAUUGGACAAUGGGUUAGCGCCUGAUCCAGCCAUCCCGCGUGAAGGACGACGGCCCUAUGGGUUGUAAACUUCUUUUGUAUAGGGAUAAACCUACUCUCGUGAGAGUAGCUGAAGGUACUAUACGAAUAAGCACCGGCUAACUCCGUG